rnacentral:lncRNA from 1 species
UUUUAAGAUGGGUUUUGGUAUUAGGGAGAGGAGUUGAAUUCUGCAAUGUAUUUCUAUAAGAUCAACUUUAGUUCUAGUAAAUUACUGUUCUUCUAAUCAUUUUUAAGAUGGGUUUUGAUAAAUUACAUUUUUAUUUUGUUUUUAAGAUGGGUUUUGGUUUUAAGCUCUAUUUUUUUUUCUUACGAUUUCUAUGUUUAUUCCUUUUUUCCCUCUUCAUUUUUUUAUUUUCAAUUGUUUUCUAGUAAAUUACUUCUCUUCUAAUCAUCUAAAAUCCACAUGUAUGAGCCUUGCAGUAAUUAUCCAAUUUUUAAUGAAUCAAAUAAUUAAAAGUUGGCAAACUCAAGAAUUCUUGCC